GAUGGCGCCUGUGAGCGUAAAACAAAUUCGUAAAACAAAUACGAAUAACAGAAUGCUUUCUGUUUGGUGGGAGGCAACACACACACACAAGAAGAGAUUCUGGAGAUAUUCCAUGGUUACCCUGCCAUGGUUGCUAUGCCCCCAAGUUCUCCCUACAGAUAUUUCCAUGGCUCAAGGGGUCCUGGGUGCCCUCCAUGCAGCUGGUUUACUGCUCUAUGUUGACUUAGACAGCAAAAACAGUACAACUUCGUAGUGUGGAUGUAGUUAUGAUGGUAUAAAGCUGCUGCUAUCAUAAGCUUUUAUAUCAGUCCUGUCAACAGGUCAGGACAUUUGAAUGUACGUGUGCUAUGCACUUGGGAAGCUAUUCCACCAGACUGUUGCUGGGGUCAUUGUUAAGGUUUCAUUGCAGGGUCAGUUUGAUGGAGUUGGGGUAUGUAACUGUUGGAGAUGGAAGUGAAACCCAACAGAGCAUCACAGUUUGUCGAUUAGAAUUGGGGGCAACAUGAAGAUGGAAAGAAACGCACAAGUCUUCCCCUUAACAUCUUAUGUACAUCCUUUUCCGGUUUUGGGAGGGUAGGUGUGCCCUACUGCAAUGAGACCUAGUUUUUAUCUGCUGAUUAUUACAUACAUUCAGUUAUUUAACUUGCAAACAAGUUUGCCAACUAGCGUCAACAUCACAGAAACCACCACCAGAAUUAACACUUGUCCCCUGAGAACUGAACGGUAUCAACCAGUUCAUUUCAGAAAGGCCAUUAAACAACAGGUAGACAAGUCCAGUUCUGGUCAGUGAUCUGAAGCAGUGAGCUAGAGGAGAAAACACUAUAACCCAUUACCCACCUUCUGAGCCAGCCAGUCCAUUUUUGUUUGUUUUCUUUACAGCAAUCUCUUGAGUGGUUGCAGAAAUGUAAACUGAAAGCGCUCCUGACAGAUUUAAAACAAUUAGGAAUGUCUUAAAGUCAGUCAAGCAGAGCUUUUGUUAUGAUAAUAAAGAAUGUUCUUUGCUGGUGUAUUUUCA
rnacentral:lncRNA from 1 species